rnacentral:rRNA from 1 species
CAAUGAAUAAUAUUCAACAAUGGAAAACAUCCUGCAGCGGCGACGCGUGGGGGAUGAAGAUUUUUUUAUUAUAAACCCCCCUCAUGAGGAAAAAUAAUAAAGUGGGUCACCUAGUAGGUACUUCAAGAAGAAGACGCCACUAACUUCUUCCAGCAGCAGCGGUAAUAAUGAGAAGCAAGCAUUGUUCUUAUUUAUUUGGGCGUAAAGAAGAUGUAGGUAGGAUGGUUAAGAAAGAGGUGAAAGAAAUCUGAGCUUAUUAACCGAGAAAGGUCCAGAGGAACGCAUCUUGAGAGAGUCAGAGGAGGAGCGAAUUAUUUGGUGUAGAGGUGAAAAUAGUAGAGAUCAUGAGGAAGAAGGGUGGUGAAGAAGGCGGCGCUGGAGUUUUUUCACGACGAGGCGGGAAAAAAUGGGGAGCAACCAGCAUUAGAAGACACCGUGGUACUCCCCGCCAUCGAUGAGCGGUCGUUGUUGUGGGCGGUUCCCCUUGGGUGUCGCAGCUAACGCUUUAAGUGCUCCGCCUGGGGAGUACGGUCGCAAGGUG